GUGAGGAAUAUUGGUCAAUGGGCGAGAGCCUGAACCAGCCAAGUCGCGUGAAGGAAGAAGGAUCUAUGGUUCGUAAACUUCUUUUGCAGGGGAAUAAAGUGCAGGACGUGUCCUGUUUUGUAUGUACCCUGAGAAUAAGGAUCGGCUAACUCCGUGCCAGCAGCCGCGGUAAUACGGAGGAUCCGAGCGUUAUCCGUAUUUAUUGGGUUUAAAGGGUGCGUAGGUGGUUUGAUAAGUCAGCGGUGAAAGUUUGCAGCUUAACUGUAAAAAUGCCGUUGAAACUGUCGGACUUGAGUGUAAAUGAGGUAGACGGAAUGCGUUGUGUAGCGGUGAAAUGCAUAGAUAUCACGCAGAACUCCGAUUGCGAAGGCAGCUUACUAAGCUACAACUGACACUGAAGCACGAAAGCGUGGGGAUCAAACAGGAUUAGAUACCCCGGUAGUCC
rnacentral:rRNA from 1 species